AUCCAGGGGCAGCAGGACAAAGGCCAGAGCUGCCAACCUCCGAACAGCCUGGGCCUGGGCAACCGUGGCACACGCCGUGUCCUCCAGGGGCACAGCCAAGCCAGCAGCGGGUGGCAGGGAACUCGCAGGGCCUGGAAGCAAAGAUCCCUGAGCUGAGGAUCUGGAACCCUCUGUCCCAUCUUCCAGUGACCCCCUAGCGACAGUCUCCUGAAUCCUCGUGGCUCCUGCUGCCAGCAUCAAGGACCACGGAUGCUGCUUUGAUGGACUGAGUCCCCCUCCCCUGCCUGCCGGAGAACUUUCUCUGCUGCCCUUCGCUGCCUGCCAGCCUGGCCAGGAAACUGAGCACACCGUAGGCUCAACCCUCACGACACUUCUGCACAGGAACACGCUCCCGCCGUUCCCAAGGCUUCCAGAACACCCUGACGUGGGCGGCCUCCAGCACCACCUCAUG
rnacentral:lncRNA from 1 species